AAAGUCGAUCAGGCAAUCGCGUCAAACAUAGCCAUGUUUGACGAGGAAAGUCCGGACUCCAAAGGGCGCCGUAGCAGGUAAUACCUGUCCAUCGUGAGAUGCGGAUUAGAGCAACAGAGACGAGCCGAUUCAGUUCGGGUGAAACGGGCAAUCUCUACGGGGAGCAACACCAAAUAGGCACACGCUGACCCGGCCCGGUGAGUGUGCGGGUAGGUGGCUAGAGUGGGAUAGCGAUAUACCACCAAGAGGAAUGAUUGCCGUCGUAACAACCCAGCUUGCCUGGCGUUGUUGCUGACACAGAAUCCGGCUUAUCGAUCGACUUUGCCU
rnacentral:RNase_P_RNA from 1 species